GGACCCGCACAAGCGGUGGAGUAUGUGGUUUAAUUCGAAGCAACGCGCAGAACCUUACCUACCCUUAAAUCCCGGGACAAUCUCAGAGAUGAGACUUUCUCUUCGGAGACUCGGUGAUAGGUGCUGCAUGGCUGUCGUCAGCUCGUGUCGUAAGAUGUUCGGUUAAGUCCGAUAACGAGCGCAACCCCUAUCCUUAGUUACCAGCAUUAAGUUGGGGACUCUAGGGAGACUGCCGGUGUUAAACCGGAGGAAGGCGGGGAUGACGUCAAGUCCUCAUGGCCCUUACGGGUAGGGCUACACACGUACUACAAUGGCAGAAACAAACUGACGCAAGACCGUGAGGUG
rnacentral:rRNA from 1 species